ACGCUCGACACCUACGGGAGGAGCAGUGGGGAAUAUUGCACAAUGGGGGAAACCCUGAUGCAGCGACGCCGCGUGAGUGAAGAAGUAUUUCGGUAUGUAAAGCUCUAUCAGCAGGGAAGAAGAUGACGGUACCUGAGUAAGAAGCCCCGGCUAACUACGUGCCAGCAGCGCGGUAAUCUGAGCGGGCUGGCAAGGC
rnacentral:rRNA from 1 species